UGUCAAAGUAUUCUGAUGUAUGGGUAGCAUUAGGCAAAAUGUUCUUCAUUUCAUAGCCCUUAUUUGGUUGUACCUGACUUGUGCCAAGGCAUGUGUUCAUUUAAGAUGCAUGUGAGGGCAGUAGUGCUUCAGUGAUGGUCUUUUCAUGUUAUGUGUAUUUUGCAAUUUAUUAAUUUUAAUUUCCCUCUGUUCCCUGUUUGCAGGCAGUGAGUUGUGAGGACUGCUUCCCUGAGAACACUGAGUGCAUUCUGGAAUAUUCCAAAUGUGUGCCACUUCCAUACAAAAGAAGUUCCAAUCCCGCAAGAGAGUUCACUCACCAGUGGGCUUCAUCAACAGACCAGGGCAAAGUCGGUCUGUCCCGCUACUACAACAUGCUACUUGACUAUGUCUGGAAGCCAUGGCUGCUGUCCUCAACAUGCUAAACUGACCCUCACAAAUAAAGUCACAAAUCAAGAAUUAACAUUGAUGGUGAUGGUGGCAAGGGUGCCUUCAUAAGGUGCCAUCCAGCAAGUCCCAGCCUGGAGCCAGAGGCUGGCACUGCACGUCAGAUGGGGGAGGAUCUAUGUUAGGCAUCAGAAAGGUGGUUUAAGCAAGAAGGAAAGAGCUUCUGCAGACAGUGUUGCAAUUAGACACCUGACUUUUACUGAGUCCCUUUUCUGGUUUGUUUUGGAUGAACUAGAGUGGUGGGCACAGAAAUUUUGUCGAUGGUUCAAACAUUCACACACUCACACUCACUCACACAACCACACUUGUGGAUUUGUCAAGCAACAAAUCUUUGUAUAUAAUCUGUUGCUCAUUGAAUAUGCUUAAUAAAUGUCUUCUUGACUUGUACAUCAUGUUUGCGUAUAUAUUUUUGUAUUACAAACCAGUUUGGUUAAAACAAUGCAUAGCAAAG